CAAUAGCGUAUAUUUAAGUUGUUGCAGUUAAAAAGCUCGUAGUCGGAUUUUGGCUGAGAACGAACGGUCCGCCGUUAGGUGUGCACUGUUUGGUCUCAGCUUCCUGGUGAGGAGGUGUGCUUCACGGCCACUUAGUCACCGUGGUUACUUUGAAAAAAUUAGAGUGUUCAAAGCGGGCUUACGCUUGAAUAUAUUAGCAUGGAAUAACACCAUAGGACUCCUGUCCUAUUUCGUUGGUCUCGGGACGGGAGUAAUGAUUAAGAGGAACAGUUGGGGGCAUUCGUAUUUCAUUGUCAGAGGUGAAAUUCUUGGAUUUAUGAAAGGCGAACUUCUGCGAAAGCAUUUGCCAAGGAUGUUUUCAUUG
rnacentral:rRNA from 1 species